UACGUAGGGUGCGAGCGUUAAUCGGAAUUACUGGGCGUAAAGCGUGCGCAGGCGGUUCGUCGUGUCCGAUGUGAAAGCCCCGGGCUCAACCUGGGAAUGGCAUUGGAAACUGGCGGACUCGAGUGUGGCAGAGGGGGGUGGAAUUCCGCGUGUAGCAGUGAAAUGCGUAGAGAUGCGGAGGAACACCGAUGGCGAAGGCAGCCCCCUGGGUUAACACUGACGCUCAGGCACGAAAGCGUGGGGAGCAGACAGG
rnacentral:rRNA from 1 species